GGCGGCGUGCUUACACAUGCAAGUCGAGUGCGCGGUUGUAGCAAUACAACUGGCGCACGGCGCACGGGUGCGUAACACGUGGGCAAUCUGCCCUCCGAUGGGGAAUAACUCCGGGAAACCGAAGCUAAUUCCGCAUAACAUUCCCUGGACUCCGGUUUGGGGAAUCAAAGCAGUGAUGCGUCGGAGGAGGAGCCCGCGCCCGAUUAGCUAGUUGGCAGGGUAACGGCCUACCAAGGCAAUGAUCGGUAGCUGGUCUGAGAGGAUGGCCAGCCACACUGGAACUGAGACACGGUCCAGACUCCUACGGGAGGCAGCAGUGGGGAAUCUUGCGCAAUGGGCGAAAGCCCGACGCAGCGACGCCGCGUGGGGGAUGAAGCUUCUCGGAGUGUAAACCCCUUUCGACUGGGACGAAUGCCCGCAAGGGAGUGACGGUACCAGUAGAAGAAGCCCCGGCUAACUACGUGCCAGCAGCCGCGGUAAGACGUAGGGGGCCAGCGUUGUUCGGAAUUACUGGGUGUAAAGGGUUCGUANGCGGUGUGGCAAGUCGGGAGUGAAAUUUCUGGGGCUUA
rnacentral:rRNA from 1 species